rnacentral:tRNA from 1 species
GAAGGUAUAGCUCUGUGGUAGAGUGCAUGCCUAGCAUGCACAAAGUCCUGGGUUCAAUCCCCAGUACCUCCA